rnacentral:rRNA from 1 species
CACAUAGUUAGCCGUGGCUUUCUGGUAAGGUACCGUCAAGACAGAAGCAUUUCCUAUUCUGUUUUUUCUUCCCUUACAACAGAGCUUUACAAUCCGAAGACCGUCAUCACUCACGCGGCAUUGCUUCAUCAGACUUUCGUCCAUUGUGAAAAAUUCCCUACUGCUGCCUCCCGUAGGAGUCUGGGCCGUAUCUCAGUCCCAAUGUGGCCGUUCAACCUCUCAGUUCGGCUAUGUAUCAUCGCCUAGGUAGGCUUUUAUCCUACCUACUAGCUAAUACACCGCGUCCCAAUCUUAUAACGAACCAAACGGUUCUUUGAACUUUCUUUCAUGCGAAAAAAAGUUAAUAUGCGGUAUUAUCUUUCGUUUCCAAAAGUUAUCCCCCAUUAUAAGGUAUGUUAGACACGUGUUACUCACCCGUUCGCCACUGAGGUGCAAGCACCUCCGUUCGACUUGCAUGUAUUAGGCAUGCCGCCAGCGUUAAUCCUGAGCCAGGACAAACUCU